rnacentral:misc_RNA from 1 species
AUCGUCACCGCAUCCACCACCCCCCACCUCCACUUCCUUCUUACCUUUUCCACCUUUCAUACGGAAGGACUUUCACAGUAGGCUGCCGCUUGAUCGCCGUGACCGCUCCUUCAACCCAUAACUCAGCACGUAAUACCAUUGCUCGUAGGCAUCAGGCUAACAUGUUCCGCCGCGUCACCCUUCCGAUAGGCACCAGUGCUUCCCUGAGCGCCCUACGCAUGGCCGCUCGCGCUGGCACCCACAAGCCCACGACGCACGACUGGUCAAAGAUCUUGCCGCAGCACAUGACCGCUGAGGCACGCACUGCCCUGCAUGCGCAGAGCCACCGCACCGUUUCCGCCGUAGUUCCUGGCAAGAUGUUUAUGCGCCACUGGAUCGUGGCGGAGCAGUCCACCGUGUCUGUCGUGAAUCGUGUCAUCUCGGGCAUGAUCGCGGUCUUUACCAUGAUUUGGGCGGCUGGGUACGCCACGCUGGGCUACAACGGACACAACUCCGCACACGUAGCUGGGUGGAUUUUUAUCGCCUACUGGCUGGUAAUGCACACGCACAUGAUGUGGCUGGCCCCCACGAUGCUGGGCCUCGCCCUCCUGCAGCUUGCGCUGAACUGAUUUGACGUAGGAAGAUGAUGAUGCGGUAGGGUGUUGAUGUGGAAAAACGUGCCCGUGUAUGUCUGUAUGUUUCAUUGGAGGGGGGAUAUGGGGCACAGUGAGUUGGUUCGGUGAGCCCAUCCCUCCACCUCUGUUGUGCCAUGCUGUGUGUAGGCUGGUAAAGCAGAUGCUGGCACGGCGUUGCAACGCAUUGCUGUAGUGAUAGUGUAUGGAGAUGGUGGCAGCGGCGCGCUAACAGCGGGAAGAGAAUGCGAGGAUGGGGGAUGGGGGAUGGGUUGAAGUAGCCACAGGAGUGCUCGCCUUGACUAACUCAGCUCCCUCAUUCUUCCUCGCUCCUCGUCUCUCUCUCGUGUGCUCUCUGCACACAUAACCACAAAACGUGUGCGCGCGCUCGACUUGCGUUGUAGAGAAGCGUGUGCGUGUGUGUGUUUUUGUCGAUAGGGGGGGGGCUGCUGCCGACAGCUGGUGCACUCUCUCUCCGUGUGUGUGUGUUUUUUUUUCCUUUUUCGUAUGCGGUGAGCUCCUCGCCCGUGAUGCGUACCCGCGUCCUUUUUCCCCUUAGCGACUUAGGCCGCCGCUGCGUUUGACCUUUGCACGCGCUCCUCUUGCGUUCUGUUUUGUUUGUUUCGUGGGUUCGCUGGCCGCCCUCUCAUACCCCCCGCCACCUUUUCUUGUGGUUCUUCUCCGCAUCUCUCUCCCCUCUUCCCCUUCGGCGCGUCGAGCGUCUAGGCAACCGAAGACGCAUCGACACGGGCCCAUGCCAGUGCACCUGUCGCGCAUUCAUUUUUGUUUUCGAGCAGAGGUGCACCGCUCCGAUGACGAUGCAGUGUGAGGGGGAAGGGGCGCACCUCGGUGCGUGGCAUCCAGGGCCCACUCCCCACGCUGUGCGAGAGCAGGCCAGGCAGCCCCCGCGGCCCUUUUUGCCCCUGCCAAUGCCGAGCCGCCGCUUCUGGUGGUGGCAGGGUGAGGCGCCUACAGCGUAGGGUGCGGUGAGAGCGACUCACCGCUGCCGAUGUCGGCGGUGAGGUCCUGGAUGGCGCCGCGUCGGAGCGGCCUGUCACGGUGGGCACGCUUGUGCCAUCCAUGUGGCGGGCAGAGUGCCGGCGUGACGGGAACGCAUCUCACCGGGCCCCCCACACGGCCCACUGGUGGUGGGGCGCCUGGGCCACCCCGACGAGGAUGCACCACGUGGCGAUCGCCACAAUGGGGUGGCGGGGUGGGGGAGCGGCUGUGAGGAGACGUGCGAGGCGUGUGGUGCGUAGAAGGUGACGCAGGGGCCGUGCUCAGGUGACCGAGUCGGCGCGCUGCUGGAGCACGUGCCCCCCCUCGCUGCUUCGCACCACGCGAUGGGGGCCUGUGACGGUGCGGGGGGAGGGGGAGGGAGGCCGAGUAGAGUCUGAGCGCGCGCUGCAUGACCGAGAGCGGACACAUGCGGAGACGGAACAAGGCGGCGAUCCUCUUCGAGCGUGAUUCUGGGCCUGAACUUCGCUCUUCGCAGCGGCAUGGCGACGGGCCGACCAGCACCGUCUGGCGCCGUUCGGCCCGGUUCCUUGAUG